UACGUAGGUGGCAAGCGUUGUCCGGAUUUACUGGGCGUAAAGAGCGCGCAGGCGGUCGCUCAAGUCGCGUGUGAAAGCCCCCGGCUCAACUGGGGAGGGUCACGCGAUACUGAUCGACUCGAAGGCAGGAGAGGGUAGUGGAAUUCCCGGUGUAGUGGUGAAAUGCGUAGAUAUCGGGAGGAACACCAGUGGCGAAGGCGACUACCUGGCCUGUUCUUGACGCUGAGGCGCGAAAGCUAGGGGAGCAAACAGG
rnacentral:rRNA from 1 species